rnacentral:rRNA from 1 species
ACGAACGCUGGCGGCGUGCCUAAUACAUGCAAGUAGAACGCACAGUUUAUACCGUAGCUUGCUACACCGUAGACUGUGAGUUGCGAACGGGUGAGUAACGCGUAGGUAACCUGCCUGGUAGCGGGGGAUAACUAUUGGAAACGAUAGCUAAUACCGCAUAAUAUUACUUAUUGCAUGAUAAUUAAUUGAAAGGUGCAAUUGCACCACUACCAGAUGGACCUGCGUUGUAUUAGCUAGUAGGUGAGGUAACGGCUCACCUAGGCGACGAUACAUAGCCGACCUGAGAGGGGGAUCGGCCACACUGGGACUGAGACACGGCCCAGACUCCUACGGGAGGCAGCAGUAGGGAAUCUUCGGCAAUGGACGAAAGUCUGACCGAGCAACGCCGCGUGAGUGAAGAAGGUUUUCGGAUCGUAAAGCUCCGUUGUAAGAGAAGAACGGGUGUGAGAGUGGAAAGUUCACACUGUGACGGUAUCUUACCAGAAAGGGACGGCUAACUACGUG